rnacentral:rRNA from 1 species
GGGUUGUGAGGUUAAGCGACUAAGCGUACACGGUGGAUGCCCUGGCAGUCAGAGGCGAUGAAGGACGUGCUAAUCUGCGAUAAGCGUCGGUAAGGUGAUAUGAACCGUUAUAACCGGCGAUUUCCGAAUGGGGAAACCCAGUGUGAUUCGUCACACUAUCAUUAACUGAAUCCAUAGGUUAAUGAGGCGAACCGGGGGAACUGAAACAUCUAAGUACCCCGAGGAAAAGAAAUCAACCGAGAUUCCCCCAGUAGCGGCGAGCGAACGGGGAGCAGCCCAGAGCCUGAAUCAGUGUGUGUGUUAGUGGAAGCGUCUGGAAAGGCGCGCGAUACAGGGUGACAGCCCCGUACACAAAAAUGCACAUGCUGUGAGCUCGAUGAGUAGGGCGGGACACGUGGUAUCCUGUCUGAAUAUGGGGGGACCAUCCUCCAAGGCUAAAUACUCCUGACUGACCGAUAGUGAACCAGUACCGUGAGGGAAAGGCGAAAAGAACCCCGGCGAGGGGAGUGAAAAAGAACCUGAAACCGUGUACGUACAAGCAGUGGGAGCACGCUUAGGCGUGUGACUGCGUACCUUUUGUAUAAUGGGUCAGCGACUUAUAUUCUGUAGCAAGGUUAACCGAAUAGGGGAGCCGAAGGGAAACCGAGUCUUAACUGGGCGUUAAGUUGCAGGGUAUAGACCCGAAACCCGGUGAUCUAGCCAUGGGCAGGUUGAAGGUUGGGUAACACUAACUGGAGGACCGAACCGACUAAUGUUGAAAAAUUAGCGGAUGACUUGUGGCUGGGGGUGAAAGGCCAAUCAAACCGGGAGAUAGCUGGUUCUCCCCGAAAGCUAUUUAGGUAGCGCCUCGUGAAUUCAUCUCCGGGGGUAGAGCACUGUUUCGGCAAGGGGGUCAUCCCGACUUACCAACCCGAUGCAAACUGCGAAUACCGGAGAAUGUUAUCACGGGAGACACACGGCGGGUGCUAACGUCCGUCGUGAAGAGGGAAACAACCCAGACCGCCAGCUAAGGUCCCAAAGUCAUGGUUAAGUGGGAAACGAUGUGGGAAGGCCCAGACAGCCAGGAUGUUGGCUUAGAAGCAGCCAUCAUUUAAAGAAAGCGUAAUAGCUCACUGGUCGAGUCGGCCUGCGCGGAAGAUGUAACGGGGCUAAACCAUGCACCGAAGCUGCGGCAGCGACGCUUAUGCGUUGUUGGGUAGGGGAGCGUUCUGUAAGCCUGUGAAGGUGUACUGUGAGGUAUGCUGGAGGUAUCAGAAGUGCGAAUGCUGACAUAAGUAACGAUAAAGCGGGUGAAAAGCCCGCUCGCCGGAAGACCAAGGGUUCCUGUCCAACGUUAAUCGGGGCAGGGUGAGUCGACCCCUAAGGCGAGGCCGAAAGGCGUAGUCGAUGGGAAACAGGUUAAUAUUCCUGUACUUGGUGUUACUGCGAAGGGGGGACGGAGAAGGCUAUGUUGGCCGGGCGACGGUUGUCCCGGUUUAAGCGUGUAGGCUGGUUUUCCAGGCAAAUCCGGAAAAUCAAGGCCGAGGCGUGAUGACGAGGCACUACGGUGCUGAAGCAACAAAUGCCCUGCUUCCAGGAAAAGCCUCUAAGCAUCAGGUAACAUCAAAUCGUACCCCAAACCGACACAGGUGGUCAGGUAGAGAAUACCAAGGCGCUUGAGAGAACUCGGGUGAAGGAACUAGGCAAAAUGGUGCCGUAACUUCGGGAGAAGGCACGCUGAUACGUAGGUGAAGCGACUUGCUCGUGGAGCUGAAAUCAGUCGAAGAUACCAGCUGGCUGCAACUGUUUAUUAAAAACACAGCACUGUGCAAACACGAAAGUGGACGUAUACGGUGUGACGCCUGCCCGGUGCCGGAAGGUUAAUUGAUGGGGUUAGCGCAAGCGAAGCUCUUGAUCGAAGCCCCGGUAAACGGCGGCCGUAACUAUAACGGUCCUAAGGUAGCGAAAUUCCUUGUCGGGUAAGUUCCGACCUGCACGAAUGGCGUAAUGAUGGCCAGGCUGUCUCCACCCGAGACUCAGUGAAAUUGAACUCGCUGUGAAGAUGCAGUGUACCCGCGGCAAGACGGAAAGACCCCGUGAACCUUUACUAUAGCUUGACACUGAACAUUGAGCCUUGAUGUGUAGGAUAGGUGGGAGGCUUUGAAGUGUGGACGCCAGUCUGCAUGGAGCCGACCUUGAAAUACCACCCUUUAAUGUUUGAUGUUCUAACGUGGACCCGUGAUCCGGGUUGCGGACAGUGUCUGGUGGGUAGUUUGACUGGGGCGGUCUCCUCCUAAAGAGUAACGGAGGAGCACGAAGGUUGGCUAAUCCUGGUCGGACAUCAGGAGGUUAGUGCAAUGGCAUAAGCCAGCUUGACUGCGAGCGUGACGGCGCGAGCAGGUGCGAAAGCAGGUCAUAGUGAUCCGGUGGUUCUGAAUGGAAGGGCCAUCGCUCAACGGAUAAAAGGUACUCCGGGGAUAACAGGCUGAUACCGCCCAAGAGUUCAUAUCGACGGCGGUGUUUGGCACCUCGAUGUCGGCUCAUCACAUCCUGGGGCUGAAGUAGGUCCC